GAUUUCCCAGCUUCAAGCACCGAGCACCUGUCUCGGAGAUAAUACAGAGCACGCAACUCAGUCAAGUGGAUGCUUCAUCGCCGCCCCACAAAGUCAAGCACGAUCAUCGACUCCUUGUGAAGGUCAUAAAAGCUUCCAACUUAGGCGCGAACAAAGGCUGCAAGGAAGUGUACUGCGUGGUG
rnacentral:lncRNA from 1 species